AUUGAACGCUGGCGGCAGGCCUAACACAUGCAAGUCGAGCGGAGCGGCGGACGGGUAAGUAAUGCCUAGGAAUCUGCCUGGUAGUGGUGGAUAACGUCCGGAAACGGGCGCUAAUACCGCAUACUAUUGACUGAGCCUAGGGCGGAUUAGCUAGGGGGUGGGUGAAAGGCCUACCAAGGCGACGAUCCGUAACUGGUCUGAGAGUAUGAUCAGUCACACUGGAACUGAGCCACGGUCCGGACUCCUACGGGAGGCAGCAGUGGGGAAGAUUGGACAAUGGGCGAAAGCCUGAUGCAGCCAUGCCGCGUGUUUGAAGAAGGUCUUCGGAUUGAAAAGUACUUUAAGUUGGGAGGCGUUACCAACAGAAUAAGCACCGGCUAACUUCGGGCCAGCAGCCGCGGUAAUUC
rnacentral:rRNA from 1 species